rnacentral:rRNA from 1 species
GACAGAGGGUGCAACCGUUGUUCGGAAUUACUGGGCGUAAAGCGCGUGUAGGCGGCUCGGAAAGUCGGGUGUGAAAGCCCUGGGCUCAACCUAGGAAGUGCACUCGAAACUUCCGAGCUGGAGUUCUGGAGAGGAAGGCGGAAUUCUCGGUGUAGAGGUGAAAUUCGUAGAUAUCGAGAGGAACACCGGUGGCGAAGGCGGCCUUCUGGACAGCAACUGACGCUGAGACGCGAAAGCGUGGGGAGCAAACAGG